AGAAUCAACGCUGGCGGCGUGCCUCAGACAUGCAAGUCGAACGCGAAAGUCCCCUUCGGGGGACAAGUAGAGUGGCGCACGGGUGAGUAACACGUAGGUAAUCUACCUUCGGGUGGGGAAUAACAACCGGAAACGGUUGCUAAUACCGCAUAAUGCAGCGGCACCUAAUGGUGACAGUUGUUAAAGCGGGGGAUCGCAAGAUCUCGCGCCUGAAGAGGAGCCUGCGGCGGAUUAGCUAGUUGGUAGGGUAAUGGCCUACCAAGGCGACGAUCCGUAGCC
rnacentral:rRNA from 1 species